rnacentral:rRNA from 1 species
GACGAACGCUGGCGGCGCGCUUAACACAUGCAAGUCGAGCGAGAACCCAGGCUUCGGCCUGGGGGAAAGCGGCGAACGGGUGAGUAUCACGUGGGUAAUCUGCCCUCGACAUCGGGAUAGCCCGGGGAAACCCGGAUUAAUACCGAAUGGCCCAUCCGCUCUUCGGAGCGGCUGGGAAAGGUAGCUUCGGCCUCCAGUCGAGGAGGAGCCCGCGGCGGAUUAGCUUGUUGGUGGGGUAAUGGCUCACCAAGGCGACGAUCCGUAGCUGGUCUGAGAGGACGAUCAGCCACACUGGGACUGAGACACGGCCCAGACUCCUACGGGAGGCAGCAGUGGGGAAUCUUGCGCAAUGGGCGAAAGCCUGACGCAGCGACGCCGCGUGCGGGAAGAAGGCCUUCGGGUUGUAAACCGCUUUCAGGAGGGACGAAGCCACUCGGGUUAAUAGCCCAGAGGGUGACGGUACCUCCAGAAGAAGCCCCGGCUAACUACGUGCCAGCCGCCGCAGUAAUAC